GACGAACGCUGGCGGCGUGCUUAACACAUGCAAGUCGAACGGAAAGGCCCCUUUGGGGGUACUCGAGUGGCGAACGGGUGAGUAACACGUGAGUAACCUGCCCUUGACUUCGGGAUAACUUCAGGAAACUGGGGCUAAUACCGGAUAGGAAUCCUUGCUGCAUGGUGGGGGUUGGAAAGCUUCGGCGGUUUUGGAUGGACUGGCGGCUUAUCAGCUUGUUGGUGGGGUAGUGGCUUACCAAGGCUUUGACGGGUAGCCGGCCUGGGAGGGCGACCGGCCACAUUGGGACUGAGAUACGGCCCAGACUCCUACGGGAGGCAGCAGUGGGGAAUAUUGCACAAUGGGCGGAAGCCUGAUGCAGCAACGCCGCGUGCGGGAUGACGGCCUUCGGGUUGUAAACCGCUUUCAGCAGGGGCGAAGCUUGUGGUGACGGUACCUGCAGAAGAAGCACCGGCUAACUACGUG
rnacentral:rRNA from 1 species